CUGUGAUCCAGUUUGGUGGAGGUGGUAUGAGGCUAUUCCUUCUUGAGCCACAGGGGAUAAAAUCCCUGAGCUGUUCUCUCAUGGGGGAAGAGAAAAGGACAAUUUAAUUGUCUCAUCUCCACAUAAACCAAUAGUAGGCCUCCUUUUACAAGUUUAUAUGUAAGUAAGAGAACAAUAGGAAUUCACGCAAAAUUAGCAAAGGAAGACAGCCUGGGAUACUUUGAAUUUGAAAUUUACAGCAUUCAAAAGGAUGGAUUUCUGAACUCAUCUGCAGAUUAAGAAAAGAUCACUCAUGAUGGAGGCAGCCCAUGGGAGACCCCUGGGAUCUGAUUCUAGAAGAUGACAUUGGAUCUAUAAUGCUGUUGGGGAGAUCCUCUUUCCAUUGGCCAGAACUGGCUGCAUCUUUAAGUCUCCCCAACUGAAGCAAUAAUGCUCUCUUGUUUCAUGGAGCCCCCAGAGAUGAAAAGCUUCUUCACCCUGCGGAGGGGCUCUCUGCAGUGAACAGGGCAGAGAAGAAGUAUUUCAGGUCCUGAAAAAUGGAUUUGGGUUUGGGUUUUGUUAUUUUUCCAGCGAGCCUUCCAGGGAAGCUCUGAAAAGCUGGGAUCUUGAUAGGCAUGUCCAGAUGGGGUUUGGACUUUGAGCUUUGGUGGGUCUAAUGCUAAGUCAGAAUGGAGCCAAAUGUGAGCUGAAUGUCCUUCUUGCCCCAGAGAUGGAGGGAAUCCAGGCUAGAUGGCAUUUCUGUUAUGCUGAGGGAAAUGACUGAUUUUUUUCUUUAGUUACCUUUAAAAUAAAUAUUCCUUCUUCCAAGUCAAUGUGACCCCAGAGUGGUUAUUUGAAUCCUAAAACAAGUAGAGGGAAUGCAACUGGGGAGGACCCGAGUCAAAGGCAGAGGCUGC